AUUUAUAAAGUUUAUAAAACAUUUCAUUUUCAUUGAAAAGAGGGACUUAGUCUUAUAAAUA
rnacentral:tRNA from 7 species